GGACUUCGGGUCUGAGUCAGUGGCGUAGGGUGAGUACACGUGGAUAAUCUGCCUGAUGGACAGGAUAACACCCCGAAAGGGGUGCUAAUACCGGAUAGCCCACAGCAUCUACGGAUGCAGCGGGAAAAGGGGGCCUCUUCAUGAAAGCUUCCGUCAUCAGAUGAGUCCGCGGUCCAUUAGCUAGUUGGUAGGGUAAAGGCCUACCAAGGCGACGAUGGAUAGCUGGUUUGAGAGAAUGAUCAGCCACACGUGGAACUGAGACACGGUCCAGACUCCUACGGGAGGCAGCAGUGGGGAAUCUUGCGCAAUGGGGGCAACCCUGACGCAGAAACGCCGCGUGAGUGAUGAAGCUUUUCGGAUCGUAAAGCUCUGUCAGGAGGGAAGAAACCCCGAACGGUUAAUACCCGUUCGGAUCGACGGUACAUCCAAAGGAAGCACCGUCUAACUCCGUGCCAGCAUCCUCGGUAAUACGGAGGUUUCAAGCGUUUUUCGGAAUUAUUUGGGCGUAAAGCGCGUGCAGUCGGUUUGUUAAGUCUGAUGUGAAAGCCCCGGGCUCAACCUGGGAAGUGCAUUGGGAAACUGGCUGACUUGAGUACGGGAGAGGGAAGUGGAAUUUCGAGUGUAGGGGUGAAAUCCGUAGAUAUUCGAAGGAACACCAUUGGCGAAGGCGGCUUCCUGGACCGAUACUGACGCUGAGACGCGAAAGCGUGGGGAGCGAACAGGAUUUGAUAUCCUGGUAGUCCACGCCGUAAACGCUGGGUACUAGGUGUUGCGGGUAUUGACCCCUGCAGUGCCGAAGCUAACGCAUUAAGUACCCCGCCAGGGGAGUACGGUCGCAAGACUAAAACUCAAAGGAAUUGACGGGGGCCCGCACAAGCGGUGGAGCAUGUGCUAAUUCGACGCAACGCGAAGAACAUUACCUGGGCUUGACAU
rnacentral:rRNA from 1 species